ACGGGAGGCAGCAGUGGGGAAUAUUGGACAAUGGGGGAAACCCUGAUCCAGCGACGCCGCGUGAGUGAAGAAGUAUUUCGGUAUGUAAAGCUUUAUCAGCAGGGAAGAAAAUGACGGUACCUGACUAAGAAGCCCCGGCUAACUACGUGCCAGCAGCCGCGGUAAUACGUAGGGGGCAAGCGUUAUCCGGAUUUACUGGGUGUAAAGGGAGCGUAGACGGUUUGGCAAGUCUGAAGUGAAAUGCGGGGGCUCAACUCCUGAACUGCUUUGGAAACUGUCGAACUAGAGUGCAGGAGAGGUAAGUGGAAUUCCUAGUGUAGCGGUGAAAUGCGUAGAUAUUAGGAGGAACACCAGUGGCGAAGGCGGCUUACUGGACUGUAACUGACGUUGAGGCUCGAAAGCGUGGGGAGCGAACAGGAUUAGAUACCCUGGUA
rnacentral:rRNA from 1 species